rnacentral:rRNA from 1 species
UGGGGAAUUUUGGACAAUGGGGGAAACCCUGAUCCAGCAAUGCCGCGUGUGUGAAGAAGGCCUUCGGGUUGUAAAGCACUUUUGUCAGGGAAGAAAUCCUUUGGGCUAAUACCCUAGGGGGAUGACGGUACCUGAAGAAUAAGCACCGGCUAACUACGUGCCAGCAGCCGCGGUAAUACGUAGGGUGCAAGCGUUAAUCGGAAUUACUGGGCGUAAAGCGUGCGCAGGCGGUUGUGUAAGACAGGUGUGAAAUCCCCGGGCUUAACCUGGGAAUUGCAUUUGUGACUGCACGACUAGAGUGUGUCAGAGGGGGGUGGAAUUCCACGUGUAGCAGUGAAAUGCGUAGAUAUGUGGAGGAACACCAAUGGCGAAGGCNGNCCCCUGGGAUAACACUGACGCUCAUGCACGAAAGCGUGGGGAGCAAACAGGAUUAGAUACCCUGGUAGUCCACACUGUAAACGAUGAUGACUAACUGUUUGCCCUUUGGGGUGAGUGGUACAGGAGAAAUCGUUAAGUCAUCCACCUGGGGAGUACGCCNGCAACGGUG